rnacentral:rRNA from 1 species
UACAGAGGGUGCGAGCGUUAAUCGGAAUUACUGGGCGUAAAGCGCGCGUAGGCGGCUUUGCAAGCCGGAUGUGAAAUCCCCGGGCUUAACCUGGGAACUGCAUUCGGGACUGCAUUGCUCGAGUAUGGGAGAGGGAAGUGGAAGUUCAGGUGUAGCGGUGAAAUGCGUAGAUAUCUGAAGGAACAUCAGUGGCGAAAGCGACUUCCUGGACCAAUACUGACGCUCAUGUGCGAAAGCGUGGGGAGCAAACAGG